rnacentral:sRNA from 1 species
GCGAUCCGACACUGAAUGAAUAAGAUACAUUGCGCCUGUAGAAGGCCCAAUUUUUAUCCGAUAUUAUACGGCUAAAAUGAUGUCAAUGGUUUCUCUCAUGACUUCCAACUGACUUAAUUAAAUUAGAUUUAAUUCGGUCUGUGCAUUUUUAUUGCUUCUAUAUAAAUCGAUCUCCUGAUUUUUACUUCUGAUUUUCGGUUGAUAUAUAGGUCAUUGGAAUUUCAUAUUAGUUUCGAUGUUUAUUAUUAGAAAUGUCGAUUAACGAUAGUUUGCCAGCUCUACCUUCUAAAUUUGCACAAGUUCGGCCAUAAUCGUAAUUUCACAAAAGUUAAAAAACGGAUGCACGAUUUCCUUAUUAUUUUUUAACUCUGUCAAAAACUAGUUUAUUUCGGUAUGUUUAUUUUCGAUGUAUGUCAUAUACGUUAGAGUUUAUGUAUGCCAUACACGUCAGAGUGCCUCUAAAUUUUUAGACAAAUAUUUCCUAUUGAGCAAUCGAAUAUAUUUGUAAAUAUGCCGAAUUGAUCCAUGUUUAGAUAUUGCCCUUCUAACAUACAUGUCAAGUGAGGUUCAAAUCGAUCAUUACCUACAUCAGGCUAUGGACCGACCAUAAAACCCGAUCAAUAGAAUUGAUUUCUGUUUUGCUGCCCAAUUUUUGUCAGUUUCAGCCAAUGAAAAAAUAUUGCACAGAACAACAUUGGGCUCGUUCAAAUUUAACGCGCUUUUACCUGUAAAUCUGAAAAUUCUAACUAAGGCUUUGACAAGUACGGGAAGACAAAAGACAUGCGGCACCAGAGAAUUGCAAGCGGUGGUAUUUUUCUGAUUUGCGGAAUACUCAUAAAUUGCAGUGUAAGUAAUUAUCAUCAGCGCAAUUGAUGCUGUGCUAUGCUCGGCACACUGAUAUGAGUGGCGAUCGAAUGAAUACUCCUUCCUUUUUUUUGUGUAUCACCGAAUAACGGGCUUAGUGCUAAAUAAAUCAAAAAAUGACUACGUA